rnacentral:rRNA from 1 species
AUUGAACGCUGGCGGCAUGCCUUACACAUGCAAGUCGAACGGCAGCACGGGUGCUUGCACCUGGUGGCGAGUGGCGAACGGGUGAGUAAUACAUCGGAACGUACCUUAUCGUGGGGGAUAACGCAGCGAAAGCUGUGCUAAUACCGCAUACGCCCUGAGGGGGAAAGCGGGGGAUCGCAAGACCUCGCGCGAUUAGAGCGGCCGAUGCCUGAUUAGCGAGUUGGUGGGGUAAAAGCCCACCAAGGCGACGAUCAGUAGCUGGUGCUGAGAGGACGAUCAGCCAAACUGGGACUGAGACACGGCCCAGACUCCUACGGGAGGCAGCAGUGGGGAAUUUUGGACAAUGGGGGCAACCCUGAUCCAGCAAUGCCGCGUGAGUGAAGAAGGCCUUCGGGUUGUAAAGCUCUUUUGUCAGGGAAGAAACACCGGCUCUAACACAGUCCGGGAAUGACGGUACCUGAAGAAUAAGCACCGGCUAACUACGUGCCAGCAGCCGCCGUAA